CAGUGUAAGCAGGUGAGUUGUGUUGAGGUUCCUAAGGCAGGCACUGAGGACUUUGAGGGCUCCAGACAGAGCAGACCUGGGAAGGCCCUCGUUGAAGCCCCUUGGAAACCUUCUAAGGGUAGGUGUGUAUGGUAAUAAGUGUUGGAGAAUGUCCUGAAUGUGGAACAGGAAUGCAGGGAAGGAAAAUGAACCCUCCUGUAAUGCUGCCAUAUCAGCUUCAGUGGAGAUACCUCUGUGUGCCCUUUUGGAGCUGAUUGCCAGGGCACCUGGUGGGCUGGAAUGAUUCAAGAGCAUGGGAAUACAAGAUUGCCUGGCUUCUGAAACUCACCAGUUGUGUCUCAGAGGUUCUUGUAUGAAAUUUUAGGUAACACCUGAACUUCUAGUGUGUACUUCUGAGUUCUGUUGGAAAGAGAUUGUCCAGGGAACAAGUAUCUUUCUCAUUCCAGGAAGUUGCACUUGAUGAACUUCCCCUCUGAGCUGAUGCCCUUGGCAGGAGAAGUGCUCAGCAAGGAGGCUCUUUGCUCCUAGGCAGGAAGAAAGGCCAGUGCCCUUCCUCCCCAAGGCCCAGCCCAGCAGGGCUGGCAGGAGCUGCUGGUGUGGCUGCUCUUUGGGUUCUCAGCUGUGGCUGUGGGGUGGUGACAUCGUGUUCCUGCCUGUGCUCCAGGGCAGCCAAAAGCCCCAGCCCAGCCCCUGGGCCUUUCUGGGAGCCUGAGCUAUUGCAGCACUGGGGAUGGCUUUGGUUUCCUUCUUUCCUCAGAGUAAAAGUGUCUGGGGGAGUCUGUGAUCUCCCUCGUUUUUGUAUCAUAACUGGAACUUGUAAAGAAGUUCACCUUGUGUAAUUUACCAACUGACUUGGCAGUGCCAGGCUGUUGUAGCAUGCAGGUUAUUGUUUGUGUCUGAGUAGUUUGGUGUUUAUUUGCCAAGGGAGGCUGUGGAAUGUUAUGGUAUUUUUGUCCCAAUAUUUGGAGGCAGUUCCCUGGAUUAGAUGAUUUCUGCGUUGCUCCCUGGUGUCUAAGUUGUGAGGUGUACUAAGAACUGGUAGUUUUUGCAGUGGGAUGUACCCUAGAAACUCCAUGGAGCUGAGCCAAGGGAUUUAGAGGGACUAAGCAAGCGAAGUAAAGAAAGAAUGAAGAAGGGAACUGAGAGAGCAGCCAAGCAGCACCAAGUUCCUCUACAACCAGGGAAUAACUCCUGUCAGCAGCAAGGUCCUGACUGAAGUGGCAGCUGCAGUUGUUCCUGUUGUGUGGGCCAGUGGACUUCCAGGAGGGUGGAAGAGGGCAGAACCUGACGUGAAUGCAAGAACCUGCCAAGGAACCAAUGACCAAGAUGAUUGAUGAGUGCAGGACCUGAGAGAAGCACCUUGAAUGACAACCUCGAGCAGUUUCCAGUAUUGGAUUGCAAAGAUGGCCUUUGCUGCAUCUCCUUGAGCAAGGAAAGCCAGGAUACCUUUGCUUUGGAAGGAGAAAAUGGGGAAAGCAGGAAGGAAGAAAAGCAGUCCCCUGACUCCUCCCUGAGCCCCAGACAGCCCAUGAACUGCCUUGCUGGGAAUGGUAGGACGGGGUGGACUCUGGAUUGCUCCCUCUGGAUGUGUGGUAAGACUGUUCUGCCAACUUUUAAGAAUAGCAUGUAAAGCAUUUGCUGCCUUGGCUAGAUGGUGCAAGGGCAGCCUUUAAGCAGCUGAAGCAUUCCCUGAGGAGAGCUCUGGGUCUGCCAUAUGUCUCAG